CCCAGCGUAGCUCAACGGUGGAGCACUCGGCUGUAGCCCGGGGGGUUCCCGGUUCAAAUCCGGGCGCUGGGA
rnacentral:tRNA from 1 species